UUAAGUUCAGCGGGUAUCCCUACCUGAUCCGAGGUCAAACUGAGAAAGGGGCUUCCUGGGGGACGCGUCCCGCCGGACCUCGAGUAUCGCGUUUCUGCUGCGCUCGAAGCCAACGUGACGGCCGCCAAUGACUUUGAGGCGAGUCCCCCGCGUGGGGCGGGGGACAGGCGCCCAUCACAAGCUGAGCUUGAGUCGUUAAA
rnacentral:misc_RNA from 1 species